rnacentral:rRNA from 1 species
AAUGAACGCUGGCGGCGUGCCUAACACAUGCAAGUCGUACGAGAAAUCCCGAGCUUGCUUGGGAGAGUAAAGUGGCGCACGGGUGAGUAACGCGUGGGUAACCCACCUUCGAAUCUGGGAUAACUCCGCGAAAGCGGUGCUAAUACCGGAUAAGACCACGGCCGUUUCGGCGGCAGAGGUAAAAGCUGACCUCUCCAUGGAAGUUAGCGUUCGAGGACGGGCCCGCGUCCUAUCAGCUUGUUGGUGGGGUAAAGGCCUACCAAGGCAGCGACGGGUAGCUGGUCUGAGAGGAUGAUCAGCCACACUGGAACUGGAACACGGUCCAGACUCCUACGGGAGGCAGCAGUGAGGAAUUUUGCGCAAUGGGGGAAACCCUGACGCAGCAACGCCGCGUGGGUGAAGAAGGCUUUCGGGUCGUAAAGCCCUGUCAGGUGGGAAGAACCGUUUCGAUACUAAUAAUGUCGAAGCCUGACGGUACCACCAGAGGAAGCACCGCCAACU